AGUUGUUCAAGGUGGCAGGGAGGUCCAUAGAACUCCCCCUGCCAGCCUCCUGGAAUGAUGCAGGCCACCACAGAGGCCUAUUUCCACACGGGUGGUGGCUUCCAAAGGGGGAAAGACCAAAAAUCGGCUGAAGAAUGGGCAAAUGGCCAAUUUCUGAGUAGCUGUGAGAGACCUGAUCUGAACGGAGCAGGAGCUGAGUGUUAAUGCUUCCCUUCUCCAUGCCACAGUCCUGAUCAGUAAGGAGCAAUCCAGGGAUAGCACAAAGGUGACAUAAGCAAGCCACUUCUGUGAGGACCAAAAAAUGCCUCCGUCUUCUCUUCAUUCCAAGAUAAAGAUGUGUGAAGGCAGACAUAAGAGAAAAAGAGAACUCAAGAAGCUGGAAUUCUACGAUCUGAAAAUGCUGAAAUUGAUGCAACUGACAUUUCACAAGAGGAUGAAAAUGAUGAGCAUGCAGACUAUCCUGAAAAAUUAGAUUAGACCUUGUUAAACCUUUAGUAAUAAUUCGGAUUGUGAAGGUUUCUUUUGAAGUGCAAUUUGAAAUUUAUAUUUUUUGGAAUGUUAUGUCGGUCGGGGGGGAAACAACCAAUGUUUCCGUUGAAGUGCAAUUGAAGUUCAUAAUGUGAUGUGCUUAAAAUAAAUAAGAGAAGGUUUCUUAUGAAGUGUAAUGGGAAAUUACUUCUGCAAUGUGAUGUGUUAAAAUAAAAAAAAAGUUCAGCA